rnacentral:rRNA from 1 species
UACGUAGGGUGCAAGCGUUGUCCGGAAUUAUUGGGCGUAAAGAGCUCGUAGGCGGUUUGUUGCGUCGGCUGUGAAAUCCCGAGGCUCAACCUCGGGUCUGCAGUCGAUACGAGCAAACUAGAGUGUUGCAGGGGAGACUGGAAUUCCUGGUGUAGCGGUGAAAUGCGUAGAGAUCGGCAGGAACACCCAGGGGGAAACCAGUCGACUGGGCAGCACCUGACGCUGAGGUGCGAGAGCGUGGGGAGCGAACCGG